rnacentral:tRNA from 1 species
GAGUGUAUAGCUCAGUGGUAGAGCGCAUGCUUAGCAUGCAUGAGGUCCUGGGUUCAAUCCCCAGUACCUCCA